rnacentral:lncRNA from 1 species
CCACGUGCGUACGGUCCCAUAAUAAUGAUAAUGAUGGUAUUUGUUAAGCUAUUACUAUGUGACAGGCACUGUUCUAAGCGCUAGUGUAGAUACAAGCUAAUCAGGUUGGACACAGUCCCUGUCCCACAUAGGGCUCACGGUCUUAAUCCCCAUUUCACAGAUGAGGUGACUGAGGCCCAGAGAAGCAAAGUGUCUUGCCCAAAGUCACAAAGGAGACAAGUGGCGGAGCUGGGAUUAGAACCCCGUCGUUCUGGCCCCCCGGGCCCGUGUUCUAGCCACGAGGCGAUGCUGCUUCCCCUGGCCAGAGACCGGGAUGUCCUCCAAGUCGUCAGCAGGGAAGGCGAGUGGUUUCUUGGAUGGCAGGCGUUUGCCAUGGACAGAGGCGGCCCCGAUCCUGAAGCAGAGUCGGCCCGGUGCGCGUGUCUGAAGAUGAGUUGGGUGGCGUGCGUGACACUUUCUCCCGAUCUGCUCAUAUAGAUGACGGUGCCAAGUGUCUACAGGCGAGGGAUGGAAUCGGUCCUCUCUCCCGUGAAGCCAAGUUACCUUACGUUAACGGAGAUUAUGGUGACUCUGAAAUGUCUCCGUCCCGAUCUCUGCCAACGCAGAGGCCCCUGCAUGGAGGAUCACAGUCACGGCUUUAGAAGCCUAAUUGCUCUU